ensembl:lncRNA
UAAAAUACUAGUUUUGAUAACAAUAAAAUGGAUGCUAACAGUAGCUACCAUUUGUAGGCAUCGAGGUGCAUUAAAUAGCCUGCACGUUGUGUUUAGUAAUUACCAUAGUCCUGUGAGACCGAAGGGAUCUCCAAGGUAGAGUCAGGGAAAGCAGAGCUUGGAGCAAUUAAACUCCUGAUGACUUCCUGAUGGAGUCAUCAGGAAGACUGAGAUAGAAAUAAACGCUGUAGUGAAAAUUUGAAACAAGGAAGAACAGAAUCAGACGGUUUCUUCUACCUUAACUCUUGCUCUCCGUUGCUUUUGGCACUAUAAUCUCUGAAAACAUGCUGUCUAUAGCUGUAUUGUUGUUUAGUUGCUAAGUGGUGUCCAAGCUUCCCAGGUUCCUCUGUCCAUGGGGUUUCCCAGACAAAAAUACUGGAGUGGGCUGCCAUUUCCUUCUCUAGGGGGUCUUCCCCACCCAGGGAUCAAACCUACAUCUGCUGCUUGGCAGGUGGAUUCUUUACCACCUGGGAAGGCCCAGGUGGCUGUAAGCAUACAUAAUAGCCUGCCUCCAUCCUGCCCCUCUGCCUGAAUGGUAAAACUGUAAUGAAUGACAGAAAGCAGAGAAGUGAUUACCUAAGGUUAAGGACAAGUGUUGGAUUGUCCACAAAGAAGCAAGAAGGAACUUUUAAAGGACCAAGUGACCCUCAGGCAAAUGCUCAGUUCUACCUGGACCAACGAGGGAGGAAGCCAUUACUCAAAAAACAGGAACACCAGGAGUCCAGCAGCACUUUGGUCAAAUGGAGAUGCCAGCUUUUCUGUCUGGAUUCUAUCAGGAUUUAUGCUGUGGCCAUUUCAAGGAGACUUGUAAAUAGUUAUAAGCGGUGCAAAUUAUAGAAGUGACUCAUGGACACUUAGAUUAUUUAAUUUGAUUGCUGCCCUCAAAGAUGCCUUGCUGACUGAAGUGUAAUAGCGAUAGGUAAAGAGUGUCUGAGGAGGUUCCUUGACUUUGUCUGCCUGGCUAUUGAUAUGCAUAAAACAACAAGGAAUAAAAGAAAGACUGGGAAAAAAAACAAACAAACAAACCCUGAAGCCUUCCAUACAGCGGUUCCCUGCCUUCGAGUCACAGUCUAAAUGAAACUUUUCAAAUUCCUCUCUCCCAGUUCAGCCUGUUCCCAUCAAUCAGUGGCUGUGGACGAUGGGGCCCUUUACAGGUCAGUCCAUUUAUCCUUGAGACUGCCGACAGGACUUUGCCCUGAAAAAUUCUCAGACAGAUGGGCGACUGUCCUCCUUUUCAGAGCUUUCCUGAGAAAUAAAUCAUCAGCAUUCUCAGUAACCCACGUUGGUGCGGAGCGUCUGGUAAGAAAGUAUCAAAUUAGCAUAGCCUUCAAAGGGAGAGGAGUCAGGAGUCCAGCUCUGUGUUUGGUAACAUGAAUCAUGCAUCUUAGAAUAAAGGAGGCAUGGAAAUCAAACACUUAAUGUGUCAGAAAUAACUGGCUCAACUCAUCACCCUGUGAC